rnacentral:rRNA from 1 species
CAGAGAGCUUGCUCUCGGGUGACGAGCGGCGGACGGGUGAGUAAUGUCUGGGAAACUGCCUGAUGGAGGGGGAUAACUACUGGAAACGGUAGCUAAUACCGCAUAACGUCGCAAGACCAAAGUGGGGGACCUUCGGGCCUCAUGCCAUCAGAUGUGCCCAGAUGGGAUUAGCUAGUAGGUGGGGUAAUGGCUCACCUAGGCGACGAUCCCUAGCUGGUCUGAGAGGAUGACCAGCCACACUGGAACUGAGACACGGUCCAGACUCCUACGGGAGGCAGCAGUGGGGAAUAUUGCACAAUGGGCGCAAGCCUGAUGCAGCCAUGCCGCGUGUAUGAAGAAGGCCUUCGGGUUGUAAAGUACUUUCAGCGAGGAGGAAGGCAUUAAGUUAAUAACCUUAGUGAUUGACGUUACUCGCAGAAGAAGCACCGGCUAACUCCGUGCCAGCAGCCGCGGUAAUACGGAGGGUGCAAGCGUUAAUCGGAAUUACUGGGCGUAAAGCGCACGCAGGCGGUCUGUUAAGUCAGAUGUGAAAUCCCCGGGCUCAACCUGGGAACUGCAUUUGAAACUGGCAGGCUUGAGUCUUGUAGAGGGGGGUAGAAUUCCAGGUGUAGCGGUGAAAUGCGUAGAGAUCUGGAGGAAUACCGGUGGCGAAGGCGGCCCCCUGGACCAAGACUGACGCUCAGGUGCGAAAGCGGGGGAGCCAACAGGAUUAGAUACCCUGGUAGUCCACGCUGUUAACGAUGUCAACUUGGAGGUUGUUCCCUUGAGGAGUGGCUUCCGGAGCUUAACGCGUUAGUCGACCGCCUGGGGAGAACGGCCGCAAGGUUAAACUCCAAU